CAGCAGCCGCGGUAAUACGUAGGUGGCAAGCGUUGUCCGGAAUUAUUGGGCGUAAAGGGCUCGCAGGCGGUUUCUUAAGUCUGAUGUGAAAGCCCCCGGCUCAACCGGGGAGGGUCAUUGGAAACUGGGAAACUUGAGUGCAGAAGAGGAGAGUGGAAUUCCACGUGUAGCGGUGAAAUGCGUAGAGAUGUGAAGGAACACCAGUGGCGAAGGCGACUCUCUGGUCUGUAACUGACGCUGAGGAGCGAAAGCGUGGGGAGCGAACAGGAUUAGAUACCCCUGUAGUCCCUGUCUCUUAUAC
rnacentral:rRNA from 1 species